rnacentral:misc_RNA from 1 species
GAUGAAGAACGUAGCGAAAUGCGAUAAGUAAUGUGAAUUGCAGAAUUCAGUGAAUCAUCGAAUCUUUGAACGCACAUUGCGCCCGCCAGUAUUCUGGCGGGCAUGCCUGUUCGAGCGUCAUUACAACCCUCAGGCCCCCGGGCCUGGCGUUGGGGAUCGGCGGAAGCCCCCUGCGGGCACAACGCCGUCCCCCAAAUACAGUGGCGGUCCCGCCGCAGCUUCCAUUGCGUAGUAGCUAACACUUCGCAACUGGAGAGCGGCGCGGCCACGCCGUAAAACACCCAACUUCUGAAUGUUGACCUCGAAUCAGGUAGGAAUACCCGCUGAACUUAAGCAUAUCAAUAAGCGGAGGA